CGCUGAACUUAAGCAUAUCAAUAAGCGGAGGAAAAGAAACCAACAGGGAUUGCCUCAGUAACGGCGAGUGAAGCGGCAACAGCUCAAAUUUGAAAUCUGGCCCCCAGGCCCGAGUUGUAAUUUGUAGAGGAUGCUUCUGGCGACGCGCCUUCCGAGUUCCCUGGAACGGGACGCCAAAGAGGGUGAGAGCCCCGUCCGGUCGUGCGCCUAGCCUCUGUGAAGCUCCUUCGACGAGUCGAGUAGUUUGGGAAUGCUGCUCUAAAUGGGAGGUAUACGUCUUCUAAAGCUAAAUACCGGCCAGAGACCGAUAGCGCACAAGUAGAGUGAUCGAAAGAUGAAAAGCACUUUGAAAAGAGGGUUAAAUAGUACGUGAAAUUGCUGAAAGGGAAGCGCUUAUGACCAGACUUGGGCUUGGUGAAUCAUCCGGCGUUCUCGCCGGUGCACUUUGCCGGUCCAGGCCAGCAUCAGUUCGUCUCGGGGGAUAAAGGCUUCGGGAAAGUAGCUCCCUCGGGAGUGUUAUAGACCGUUGCGCAAUACCCUGAGGUGGACUGAGGUACGCGU
rnacentral:rRNA from 3 species